GUAUUACGUUGGUACAAGAGUAAUUGCGGUUUUUGUCAUUACUUUUAAUGGUAAAGACCACAAUUACUUUUGCACCAACCUAAUAUAA
rnacentral:miRNA from 1 species